GCCUUUCUUGUCAUGGAACAUAUAAUUAUACUAAAUUUCCUUUAUGAGGUCAGAAGUCUGUUCCAAUGUCAGAUAAUUUUGUCAGUUUUAUAGUCUUGAAUAAAUGUUUACUUGACAAAACUCCUAGCAAAAAUUAUCAUCAAACUCAUUUGAAAUACUGCUAUUGUAUCUUUAAAAAAAAGUCAAUGCAGUCAAUAGUCAAAUCCUCUCCAUGGACAAAGAUGUGCUGAUGCUAUCAAAAAACAAAUUGCUGAUGGUGCUGGCUAAACAGAAAUGACGACUGGCUCAGCCAAAGUGGCUGGUGACUAAACAGGUUCAGUUUUGUAUGCCAAAAAUGAACUCAAUUUAUUUUAAACUUCAUCUAAAUGCAGCUUGGACAUGCUGACAAAGAUUGAUAUGGCUGUAAAACUGUUUGCAAUCUGUGACACUUACCUGUAAUUUACUCACCUUGAUAAUUAAUUAAUAAAUAAUCCAUCAAACUCAGGAUUCAUCAAAUCAUUUAUUCUAUGCAACAGACUUUUCUGACAAAUUAAUUAUAUCCUAUAUUAAAUCAGGAUUUUAUUUGUUUUCUAUUAAUUUGUCCAACUGAAUAUUUGAC
rnacentral:lncRNA from 1 species